AGUGUAUGUGAAUAUCCAUCCAUCUAACCAUUGAUUAGAGGCUCAGGAUCCAGACUUGGAGCUCAACUGAAAAUCUCCUCUAAAUAAGAUCUACAUUGAGACUGAAGGACAGAGAGAAAUUGAGAGGGAGGAAAGGGAGACAGAGAGGGAGGAAGGAGGAGAGACACUUGCAGCACCACUCCACCACUUGUGAAGCUUCCCCCCUGCAGAUGAGGACUGGAGGCUUGAACUUGUGUCACUGCACAUGAUCCAAGAAGUCAACUGCUCUAUGAGUUCAGACCCCUUAAAGUUUCAGUCUGAUGUCUGUGUCAUAUCUGCUUCCUGGAAACAUCUUAAGGUACGGCUAAAAUAGCAAGAAAAUGUUAGCCAGGAUUUUCCAUGUGAACAGUGACCCACCACAGGUUGAAUCCCAAAACCUAUGCAUUUGUUGGGUUGGAUAGAGAGCAGCAAAGCAGGACAAUGGAGGAAGAGAAGAGGUUUCAUCCUUGUUUGUGUACAUAUUAGGACAUACAGUGUCAGAAAUGGAUCCUCUUUAUUUAUAAAACAAAGUAGUUCAGUCUGGCAGG